AAGCACGACAGGUUUUUUAGAAUUUGUCUAGCAGGUUUUCCCAUUUGUACCAGAAACCCCCC
ensembl:snRNA U7 U7 small nuclear RNA